GGAGGGGUGGGUGAGUGGCUGAAACCACCGGUCUUGAAAACCGGCAACCCGAAAGGGUUCGAGGGUUCGAAUCCCUCCCCCUCCGC
rnacentral:tRNA from 1 species